UAUGCAAUUGACAUGUGUCUUAAAAUAUGAAAAAAAAAUAGGAAACUUUUCAUUUAUCUAAAGGAUCACUUGUUUACUUUGAUAUGUUGAUUCUAGACUGCAGAAGUUGAAGGAUUUGUUAGGACCAUCCGAAGCUCUAGCGAUAAUCAGGCCAAAUAUGCGACCCCUUCCUGCUGUUCCCUGCCAAAGUUGCAUGAAAAAAAUAGGAGUCAACAUGAAAAGAAAGGAACAGAGCCAGUGACGAUGCAAUUUUUCUAAAAAUCACUACUUGAUCCUUGAAUUCUUGGAAUUUGUUUAUUCUUGCACGGAGCGAAGAAUGCCUCAUAGUGUGGAAUAUUUUGGAAGACCAUGUGCAAAGAAGGUGGUGGAGGGCAGGCUAAUUUUGGUUUGCAACCACAGAAAUCAGGAAGUUGGCUGUGGGAGCGUGCGUCAUCAAGACUCUUUAGAAAUGGCAGCAUGGGGAGUAUAGCAAGCAGUAUUGGAGAUAGCGUUGGACAAACUGCAAAGCAAGCGUCUAGGGUCAGCAGUGGUUUCAGAAAUGGUUUCAAAAAGCUGCAAAAUAAGGGAACCCAAUCCGUGAGGACACUGUUGAGAGGUAUAUGACUGUUCUUUGAGAUUUAUAUUUAACAUUGGAAAACACUGUCACUGAUACAUUACUGAAAUCUAGAUUUAACGUGUUAGUGUACCGUAUUAGAUCCGUUCAAUAAUUUUACGACUUUUAAAGAUAAAAAGAGAGAAGCAGUAGAGUGUUUUCUUUUAUUGCUGCUUUUUCGAUGUUUAGGACCUUAUGGUAAUCGCGAAGGAAAAAAGGCCUCGUCAAAAACAAAUAUGAACAGAGGCGGAUCCAGCAAUUCAGCAACACUAGAUUUUUCUAUUUAAACCAAUGCUAAAUAAUCGAUUCUUGUCGGAGCACUCGGCUCCUCCAAGAAUCGAUACAUUCCUACAGGUUUAAAUGGAGGAAAGACAAUGUUGCCAAUUUCUGAAUCCGCCAAUGAUAAGUUGAAACACAGGAGGGUCAGUAAGCAGCGUUGCGAGAAAGAAUGGAAGGGACAAAUGUGGAACUCGUAAUUUUUUACCCGUGCUGAACCACUGUCUGUGAACAUUUACCGCGAUUGGCAAUUCUAAAUGAUCCUUGCAAGGUGAUUUCAAACAAGAAUUUGUUGUAACAUCAGAAGUUUGUGUCCGUAUUCGAAAAGAUAUUCAAUUAAGUAAUGAAUGUAUUAGUUCAUUGGCGGAUCCAGCAAAUUGGCAACAUUGUUUUCUCCAUUUAAACCUAUGGAGAUGUAUCGAUUUUUGGAGGGGCCAACUGCUCCAAAAAGAAUCGAUUAUUUAAUAUACGUUUAAAUAUAGGAUAUCCGGUGUUACAAAAUUGCUGGAUCCACCUCUGUAUAAAUUCCACGUAUCAUCCGCGUAGUACAUAUGGACGUAUCUCUACCAAACGGAACUAUGCGCAUUAUGACGUGAGCCCUGUUAUGCAUAUAUCCUUAUGGCUCUCAGGGCUCAUGUCUUAAUGCACAUAGUUCUGUUCUAGAGAUGCGGGUUUAUUUGAUCGAUUCACGCGAUCUUCGUUUUUGAGAGCUACGAUCGACAAACUGUUGUCACCAAUCGAAAACGUCCUCAGUUUGCGAGAUACUUCACUGCCUACAUCGGAGUUACAAUAUUUUUACCAAAUGCCAUUGCGUGUGAUGAUACUAACUCGCAGGAUUUUUCAAUCGCAUAUCGAGCAUUCAUGAAGUAUUGUUUCAAAUUUAGUGGGAAAUAACUUAAUGGAAACUAUUGGCAUAAUUUGUAAAUGUAUAUGGUUUCGUAUCAGCUGUCAAAAUGAAUUUGCGAUUGCCGGCCAGAGUUUCUGGUGCAUUUUGCAAUGAUUCAUUGGCUGAACCCAAUGUUUAGGAGCAAAAUUAAUUUUUAACAGUUGCGUGGUUUUGAAUAAUCAGGUGCCUACCGAAAUAACACUACCUACAUCACAGGAUGAUAGAAUUAAAUAUUAGUUAAAAGUGAAUGCCCAAACAACGGGUGGAAUGCCUUGGCAUAUUUUCAUAAGCAAGACAUCAUUCAAUUUACCGAUCAGUUUACUUAUGGACAUGGUGAUUUUGUGUAAGUACAGCAAUGUUUCCUCUUUUCCUGCUUUAUUUUUGGAAUAUAUUUUAUGCACGUAUGACCACAAUAUUUGACCUAAAUGUCUUAACCGCCUAAUUUUAUUUUUAGCAGUCAGUCGCCGAGAUAAUGAGGUCACCUAUUCUGAGACAGGUAUGUUGUUCUUAAAAGAGACAAAUAUAUAUUUGGUCGAUUCAGUUGUUCGUGAUUUUUAGUGAUAUCUGUGCCGAAGGCAAAUAGUUACCGUACACACCGUAAAUAAGGCGGACCCAGCAAUAGACAUUGUAUGCGUAUAAGUACAUGUGGUUUUUGCGCUCAACAGCGAAAUUGAAUGCUGCACUCGAGAAGUAUCACACCUGUAAAUAUUAUGAUAUAAACUACAA
rnacentral:lncRNA from 1 species